GCCGAAGUGGUGGAACUGGUAGACACACUGUCUUGAGGGGGCAGCGGGGAGACCCGUGCCGGUUCGAUUCCGGCCUUCGGCACCA
rnacentral:tRNA from 1 species